UACGUAGGGGGCGAGCGUUGUCCGGAAUGACUGGGCGUAAAGCGCAUGUAGGCGGCCUAUUAAGUCUGGGGUGAAAGUCCACAGCUCAACUGUGGGAUUGCCUUGGAAACUGGGAGGCUAGAGGUACGGAGAGGGCAGUGGAAUUCCUAGUGUAGCGGUGAAAUGCGUAGAUAUUAGGAGGAACACCAGUGGCGAAGGCGGCUGCCUGGACGUAAACUGACGCUGAGAUGCGAAAGCGUGGGGAGCAAACAGGAUUAGAUACCCUGGUAGUCCACGCCGUAAACGAUGAGUGCUAGGUGUUGCGGGUAUCGACCCCUGCAGUGCCGCAGUAAACACAAUAAGCACUCCGCCUGGGGAGUACGGCCGCAAGGUUGAA
rnacentral:rRNA from 1 species